GCAAAAGCAGAGCCAGGUGGGGGACAAGAGUGUUCAAGAGUUGUCAUUUACCCAUUUAGAUGAUAUGGUCAGAGAGGCCUCCCUGAAAAGGUAAUGUCUGAGCAGAGACUUAUGGGAGAAGAGAGAACAGGGUGAGAAGAUCUCUGGGGGAGAAGUAGAAAGUGCAAAGACACAGAGGUGGCGAUGAGCCCCAUCUGGUUGGGACAGAGUGAAAAAGGGGUUCAGCUGGAGGGGCCUGAGAGGUGAGGGUGGCAGAACGUGUGGAGGUGUAAGCUCAGCAGAUGGUGGACACCCUGGAGGCCAUUGUGAGGCUCUGGUUCUCCCUCUGUGUGAUUUCAAGAUCCAUUGCAUGGUUGCAGCUGAGAAGUGAACAAGCCUUAUGACCUGGUUUCUCUUGAAGAGGAUCUUUCCGAUAUACAGGGAGUCCACGGAGCCUCCCCUGCAAGCAUCAGUACAGAAGUCGAUGAUAAUCUGGAUGCAAGCCCAGGAGUGUGGAGUCCACUGACUCAGAAGACCUGCAUCUAAGGAAUUGGCUGUUCUUAUCCUUAAGAAUGAUGACUGUGUUUCCAAUUCCAGUAGACCCUUUGAUGCGUUCUGAAUAAAUAUUCCUUUUGGAAUUGAACUUCUAGAGCCCUUAACUUUGGCCCACUCUAGUUUUCUGUCUGUUUUUUUUUUUUUUAAUAUUUUUUUUUUGUAAAGAUAAGGUCUUGCUUUGUUGCCCAGGCUGGUCUUGAAUUCCUGGACUCAAGCAAUCCACCUGCCUUGGCCUCCCAAAGUGCUGGGAUUAUAGGUGUGAACCAUUGUGUCCGAUCGCUCUCUGGUUUUUCUAAUAUCAUGAUCCCAACUCUGUUCUUUAUGUAAAUUUCCCUGAUCACAUGGUUGUAUCUUGGCAUUUCAAAAUCCUUGACAGACUUUGUUUUGUUUGAAUUUUACAAUGAACUUACAUGACUAGGCACGGUCCCCAGUUCAGUUUUAUAGACAAGGAUUCUGUAGGUCAAGAAGUGAAACACAACCAAUAACAGCAGGUGACAGGAUUUAAACCUGGGUCACUUUACUUAUUUUUUUCUACUCUAUCAUUAUGUGAAUCUAUCCUACCUCUGCAAUGACAGAUGGCCCUAGAGCAAGAACACUUCCUUACAUCUGGUAUACAGUCAAAAAGUAAAAAUUCCACACAAAUAAAUAUGGAAAGAAUUUUUACCUGCUCCUAUAGCUUCCUUUCAGGGACCUGGCACCCACAAAUGUUGGGUAACAGAAAGAGGACUUAUGUAACUUAACUCAAAGCAGAAAAGUUACAGAGACUGUCUUAGCAUAAUAGAGCAUGGAGUGGUCAUGCUUGGAUGUGCAAACUGUCUGAUAGUCUUGCACAUGGCUUGACCCCGAAUUACACUAGUGGGGCAAGUUGCCUGGGGCAAAGCAAAC
rnacentral:lncRNA from 1 species